AUUGAACGCUGGCGGCAUGCCUUACACAUGCAAGUCGAGCGCGAAAGGGGGGCAACCCCCGAGUAGAGCGGCGGACGGGUGAGUAACACAUCGGAACGUACCCAGUAGUGGGGGACAACCUCGAGAAAUCGAGGCUAAUACCGCAUACGACCCACGGGUGAAAGCGGGGGACCGCAAGGCCUCGCGCUAUUGGAGCGGCCGAUGUCCGAUUAGCUAGUUGGCGGGGUAAGAGCCCACCAAGGCGACGAUCGGUAGCUGGUCUGAGAGGACGACCAGCCACACUGGGACUGAGACACGGCCCAGACUCCUACGGGAGGCAGCAGUGGGGAAUUUUGGACAAUGGGGGCAACCCUGAUCCAGCCAUGCCGCGUGCGGGAAGAAGGCCUUCGGGUUGUAAACCGCUUUCGGCCGGAACGAAAUCGCCCGGGUGAACAUCCCGGGUGGAUGACGGUACCGGAAGAAGAAGCACCGGCUAACUACGUGCCAGCAGCCGCAGUAACAC
rnacentral:rRNA from 1 species